rnacentral:rRNA from 1 species
AUUGAACGCUGGCGGCAGGCCUAACACAUGCAAGUCGAGCGAGCGGCGGACGGGUGAGUAAUGUCUGGGAAACUGCCUGAUGGAGGGGGAUAACUACUGGAAACGGUAGCUAAUCCCGCAUACCAUCAGAUGUGCCCAGAUGGGAUUAGCUAGUUGGUUGUGUAACGGCUUACCUAGGCGACGAUCCCUAGCUGGUCUGAGAGGAUGACCAGGCCCACUGCAACUGAGAAACGUUCCUGACUCUUACGGGAGGCAGGAGUGGGGACUAUUUCGAAAUGGGCGCAAGCCUGAUACAGCCAUGCCGCGUGUGUGAAGAAGGCCUUCGGGUUGUAAAGCAAUUUCAGCGGGGAGGCGUUACCCGCAGAAGAAGCACCGGCUAACUCCGUGCCAGCAGCCGCGGUAAUAC